rnacentral:rRNA from 1 species
GGUUGGGUUGUUGCUGGCUUUUCGGAGCAUGUGCACGCCUAGCGCCAUUUUUACCACCUGUGCACUUCUUGUAGAUUUGGAACACCUCUCGAGGAAACUCGGUUUGAGGAUUGCUAUGCGAAAGCUAAGCUUUCCUUGCGUUUCAAGUCUAUGUUUUUAUAUACCCCAUAAGAAUGUUUUAGAAUGUCAUUAAUGGGCUUUAUUGCCUCUAAAUUAAUACAACUUUCAACAACGGAUCUCUUGGCUCUCGCAUCGAUGAAGAACGCAGCGAAAUGCGAUAAGUAAUGUGAAUUGCAGAAUUCAGUGAAUCAUCGAAUCUUUGAACGCACCUUGCGCUCCUUGGUAUUCCGAGGAGCAUGCCUGUUUGAGUGUCAUUAAAUUCUCAACCCUUUCAGCUUUUGCGAGCUGGAUUGGCUUGGAUGUGGGGGUUUGCGGGCUUCUCAGAAGUCGGCUCCUCUUAAAUGCAUUAGCGGAACCUUUGUGGACCAGCUUUGGUGUGAUAAUUAUCUACGCCAUGGUUGUGAAGCAGCUUUACAUGGGGUUCAGCUUCUAACCGUCCAUUGACUUGGACAAAUUCUGACAUUUUGACCUCAAAUCAGGUAGGACUACCCGCUGAACUUAAGCAUAUCAAUAAGCGGAGGAAAAGAAACUAACAAGGAUUCCCCUAGUAACUGCGAGUGAAGCGGGAAAAGCUCAAAUUUAAAAUCUGGCGGUCCUUGUGGCUGUCCGAGUUGUAAUCUAGAGAAGUGUUAUCCGCGCUGGACCGUGUACAAGUCUCCUGGAAC